rnacentral:rRNA from 1 species
GUCCACGCCGUAAACGAUGAGCACUAGGUGUUGCGGGUAUUGACCCCUGCAGUGCCGACGCUAACGCAUUAAGUGCUCCGCCUGGGGAGUACGGCCGCAAGGCUAAAAACUCAAAAGGAAUUGACGGGGGCCCGCACAAGCGGUGGAGUAUGUGGUUUAAUUCGACGCAACGCGCAGAACCUUACCCGGUCUUGACAUUGAAGGAAUCCUUUGGAAACUUAGGAGUACCCCGCAAGGGGACCUGAAAACAGGUGCUGCAUGGCUGUCGU